AUUGAACGCUGGCGGCAUGCCUUACACAUGCAAGUCGAACGGCAGCACGGGUGCUUGCACCUGGUGGCGAGUGGCGAACGGGUGAGUAAUACAUCGGAACAUGUCCUGUAGUGGGGGAUAGCCCGGCGAAAGCCGGAUUAAUACCGCAUACGAUCUACGGAUGAAAGCGGGGGACCUUCGGGCCUCGCGCUAUAGGGUUGGCCGAUGGCUGAUUAGCUAGUUGGUGGGGUAAAGGCCUACCAAGGCGACGAUCAGUAGUUGGUCUGAGAGGACGACCAGCCACACUGGGACUGAGACACGGCCCAGACUCCUACGGGAGGCAGCAGUGGGGAAUUUUGGACAAUGGGCGAAAGCCUGAUCCAGCAAUGCCGCGUGUGUGAAGAAGGCCUUCGGGUUGUAAAGCACUUUUGUCCGGAAAGAAAUCCUUGGCCCUAAUACGGUCGGGGGAUGACGGUACCGGAAGAAUAAGCACCGGCUAACUACGUG
rnacentral:rRNA from 1 species